AUUGAACGCUGGCGGUAGGCCUAACACAUGCAAGUCGAACGGCAGCACAGUAAGAGCUUGCUCUUACGGGUGGCGAGUGGCGGACGGGUGAGGAAUACAUCGGAAUCUACUUUUUCGUGGGGGAUAACGUAGGGAAACUUACGCUAAUACCGCUUACGACCUACGGGUGAAAGCAGGGGAUCUUCGGACCUUGCGCGAUCGAAUGAGCCGAUGUCGGAUUAGCUAGUUGGCGGGGUAAAGGCCCACCAAGGCGACGAUCCGUAGCUGGUCUGAGAGGAUGAUCAGCCACACUGGAACUGAGACACGGUCCAGACUCCUACGGGAGGCAGCAGUGGGGAAUAUUGGACAAUGGGCGCAAGCCUGAUCCAGCCAUACCGCGUGGGUGAAGAAGGCCUUCGGAUUGUAAAGCCCUUUUGUUGGGGAAGAAAAGCAGCAGGUUAAUACCUCGCUGUUCUGACGGUACCCAAAGAAUAAGCACCGGCUAACUUCGUG
rnacentral:rRNA from 1 species